rnacentral:lncRNA from 1 species
AAAAACCGAAAAUCCCUUCAAAAAAAAGCUCUCAACCUCCGGGCACCGGCCUCCAGUUCGGUCAUCGGCCGGUCGUUGGCCGCUAUGCCGACCACCAACCUCCGGCGAUGGCGCCGCCAUACGCGGUGGCAGGUAAAGGGGAAAAUCCCCUAUUCGGCCUUUUAAACCCCUUUAUGCCCAAAUCUGGGCUCAAAUCCUUGAAAAUAACAGCAAAAAAGCUUGAAAAAUCACGAAACCUUUCGGUUUCCUGCCACCGAUCCUUGGGGGUGGCUCCCUCGGCCGGUUCACGACGUUCUAGGCACCAAAAAGGUUACCUCUUUCCUUUUCUUUGUUUUCUUAUUCGUAUAAAAGUAAAAUAAAGAAAAAUAAAAAACAGUAAAUAUCAACCUUCGAAUCUAUUGUAUUGCUUUUGGUGUUUGCUGUUUUCGAUUGUAGAAUAUAGUUGUUUUUAUUGAUUGCCCCUUUCGGAUCCCCAUUACAAUAUUACAAUGGCUAUUUUAUAGCCGUAUGAAAUAAAUCUAAAGAGGAAACAAAUCUGUUUCUUGAUUUGAUUUACAAAUCUUUUGAUUUGCUUUCCAUUUUAGUUUUUCCUUGAUGCGCAGGUGAAGAUCCACAGAGAUUCGAAGCUUGGCUUGCGGCGCUGUUGAAACCCUAGGGUUUCUGUGUGUAAUUUGGGCCACCGUAGUUUGGGCCCUCGUUUGUUUUAUUAAUUGGGCCAUAUGGGCCUGUCUGUAAUGCGGGUCUUUUAGACCCGACCAAAAUCUGGCAUGUACAUAUAUAUAACAUGAUUAUAGAUGGAAGUAUGCACUGUUUUAAAAUUGAAUUUGGUCAUAAAUGCUAAUAAAAAAGUUAAACUCAUGAGGUUGGAUUUUAUAUGAAAGUAUAUAUGUAUAAAAUGAGAUAUGAA